AGUGAACGCUGGCGGUAGGCCUAACACAUGCAAGUCGAACGGCAGCACAGUAAGAGCUUGCUCUUACGGGUGGCGAGUGGCGGACGGGUGAGGAAUACAUCGGAAUCUACUUUUUCGUGGGGGAUAACGUAGGGAAACUUACGCUAAUACCUCAUACGACCUACGGGUGAAAGCAGGGGAUCUUCGGACCUUGCGCGAUUGAAUGAGCCGAUGUCGGAUUAGCUAGUUGGCGGGGUAAAGGCCCACCAAGGCGACGAUCCGUAGCUGGUCUGAGAGGAUGAUCAGCCACACUGGAACUGAGACACGGUCCCGACUCCUACGGGAGGCAGCAGUGGGGAAUAUUGGACAAUGGGCGCAAGCCUGAUCCAGACAUACCGAGUGGGUGAAGAAGGCCUUCGGGUUGUAAAGCCCUUUUGUUGGGAAAGAAAAGCAGCAGGUUAAUACCCCGCUGUUCUGACGGUACCCAAAGAAUAAGCACCGGCUAACUUCGUG
rnacentral:rRNA from 1 species